UACAGAGGUCCCGAGCGUUGUUCGGAUUUAUUGGGCGUAAAGGGUGCGUAGGCGGCGGAGUAAGUUGGGUGUGAAAUCCCGGGGCUCAACCUCGGAAUGGCAUUCAAUACUGCUUCGCUAGAGUACUGGAGAGGAGGCUGGAAUUUACGGUGUAGCAGUGAAAUGCGUAGAGAUCGGGAGGAACAUCAGUUGCGAAGGCGGCUCUCUGGACCAGCACUGACACUGAGGCACGAAAGCGUAGGGAGCAAACAGG
rnacentral:rRNA from 1 species